rnacentral:sRNA from 18 species
GUCAACAACCCAACGACUAAAGUCGUGGGCUUGUAAAAGCCCCUGUUGACUAGCCUAAGUCUUUCGAGGACUACGUUGGAUCGGUCAAGACACCUUACGGUGCGGAUUCUAGCUGUAAGCCCUGUC